GUCCUGGGCGCUUCUCGACAGCCUCCACGGCCUCCUUCCUGGAAUCUUCUAGUUCUCUUGGGGCUCCCGCCUGCGUCACUGCUUCAGGCGAACUUCCCUGUGCUCGCUGCCCACCCUGCGGGACCCCAGCCCACAGUCUGCUCACACUUGCUGGAGGGAUUAUGUGUAAAGACACAAUGGCCGUCAUGAAGAGACUACAUAUUGAUACCUGCCACUGUGGCUCAAGAGUGAAGUGACCUUGAAGAGUACAUGCCGGCCACACAUCUCAGAAAGUGCCCUGUACUUGCGUCCGCACUGAAGUCCCACCCACAGCACCGUCUCGUCUGUCUUUAAUUCACACAGCUGAAAACUCCCAACAUGAAUGACUGAAGCAUAUGUCAGAGAGCAGGUCUGUCUUUAAUUCACACAGCUGUAAACUCCCAACAUGAAUGACUGAACCAUAUGUCAGAGAGACAGCCUAGGCUGUGCAGGGCGGCUCCUGUCCCAGGCAGACAGACAGCAACAUGAAAGACGAACUUGGAAGAGAGCUGACCCGCACCCUCGGCCAAUAGGAGAGGGUGACAUCCACGGGGAGGUCAGGUGGACAGGCUCCACCUGACAUGAUGGAGGCGAAUCGGAGGAACUUGGUGAAUGGGCUGCAGGGCCCACCCUUGAGGGUAGAUGACAGGUGGGCUUGGAGAGGACACCCCAUGUGUCCCGGACACACCGCCCAGCUCUGGGGCCGUGGGUGGCCUUCACAAAGUCCAGCCCACAUUCCAACCC
ensembl:lncRNA